rnacentral:rRNA from 1 species
AUUGAACGCUGGCGGCAGGCCUAACACAUGCAAGUCGAACGAGUGGCGGACGGGUGAGUAAUGUCUGGGAAACUGCCCGAUGGAGGGGGAUAACUACUGGAAACGGUAGCUAAUACCGCAUACCAUCGGAUGUGCCCAGAGGGGAUUAGCUAGUAGGGUGGGUAACGGCUCCCCAAGGCGACGAUCCCUAGCUGGUCUGCGCUGAGGACCAGCCACACGGGAACGGAGACACGGUCCAGACUCCUACGGGAGGCAGCAGUGGGGAAUAUUGCACAAUGGGCGCAAGCCUGAUGCAGCCAUGCCGCGUGUAUGAAGAAGGCCUGCGGGUUGUAAAGUACUUUCAGCGAGGAGGCGUUACUCGCAGAAGAAGCACCGGCUAACUCCGUGCCAGCAGCCGCGGUAAUUC